rnacentral:rRNA from 1 species
AGUGAACGCUGGCGGCAGGCCUAAUACAUGCAAGUCGAACGGCAGCACAGCAGAGCUUGCUCUGUGGGUGGCGAGUGGCGGACGGGUGAGGAAUACAUGGGAAUCUGCCCAGUCGUGGGGGAUAACGUAGGGAAACUUACGCUAAUACCGCAUGCGCCCUUCGGGGGAAAGCCGGGGACCGUAAGGCCUGGCGCGAUUGGAUGAGCCCAUGUCGGAUUAGCUAGUUGGCGGGGUAAAGGCCCACCAAGGCGACGAUCCGUAGCUGGUCUGAGAGGAUGAUCAGCCACACUGGAACUGAGACACGGUCCAGACUCCUACGGGAGGCAGCAGUAGGGAAUAUUGGACAAUGGGCGCAAGCCUGAUCCAGCCAUGCCGCGUGAGUGAAGAAGGCCCUCGGGUUGUAAAGCUCUUUGUCCGGAAAGAAAGCGCCGGGUUAAUACCCUGGUGUCCUGACGGUACCGGAAGAAUAAGCACCGGCUAACUUCGUGCCAGCAGCCGCGGUAAUC